CAAAGGACAGUCCUUAUGGACACAUCGUGUGGGAGGGACUAGGGGUUCUGCAAUAGCCUCUUCAGCUAUGAAUUAACUUCACUAUCAGCGACAACUUCUAGGAAUAAAAAGGCCAUGCAUAUACAGAUGAAACACAGUCCACAGGUUCCUCUCCUCACCUUCUCCUCCCAUGAGCACUCAAACUGAUCAGCUCUGCAAGUCAAGAGAAAUGCCUCUGCCAGCCCCACCCAUCACCUUGGGAAAGCAUUAAGGUCUCUCAGUGGGAGAGACUGAAGAGUCCAUUGCACUUUGGGAUCCAGUGUCUUCAGAUGACCUACCGUCCCUGCACUCUGCCUCUCUUGGGGACUACACCAUUUGUCCACACAGUGUCUUGUGAUCCUCAGGGGAAGUAGAGCUGGAAGAUAGGAGCUGUCCAAACUGCACUGUAUUGGGGAGGGAAUGCUCAGCUCUCAACCUCCAGAUAGACUGGAAUCUAUCAAGGUGGAGGUCCCUACAGGAUCUCAGUUUGGGGUCUGCCAGGAAAUCCAAACUGCUUCCAGGCAGCAUACAGUUCUGAGAUCUGACUUUAUAUUGGAGAAUUUGAUGGAGCUAAUGGAAGAGCCAGGAAAUAGAAGAAGAAAACCACUUCUUGGGAUCCCGCCACCAUUUUUGAUGCCUGCAAUUUUCUGAAGAUUGGAAAAAGUCUGGUGGGGACACUGAAGGCUGAAAAAGAGCACAAAGUCUCUUGGGUGUGCCCUGGUAUUCAGGUUCACUGAAUUUUGUAUAGGAAACUGGAAUAAGAUAUUUUUUCCCAAAAUGUGUAUUUUAGAAAUUCAUCACUGCCAGUCUGCCCAGGGGAAGCAUUUUACAAGCAAUAGAGACAGAAACUAGGUGGAAAAACUAGGCA